GAACGCACCUUGCACCCUUUGGCAUUCCGAAGGGUAUGCUCGUUUGAGUGUCAUUGUACUCUCACACUUCCAAUUCUUUGGAUUGGGAGCGGUGGACUUGGGUGCUGCUGCUUACCGUGGCUCACCUCAAAUGUGUUAGUGCAACCGUUGGUUAGACAUAGUACGGCGUGAUAAGUAUCUUCGCUGGCGCCUCACUAGAGGGUGGCUGAUCAGGGCUCUGUGCUUCCAAUCGUCUUCGGACAUGGCUGACAACUUGACCUCAAAUCGAGUAGGACUACCCGCUGAACUUA
rnacentral:misc_RNA from 1 species